AGAGAGAGAGAGAGAGAGAGAGAGAGAGAGAGAGAGAGAGAGAGAGAGAGAGAGAGAGAGAGAGAGAGAGAGAGAGAGAGAGAGUAAAUAUAUGUACCAAAAUCUAAUUGAAUACAGACCCAGUUUAUGAAUUAUGAAGAAGAGAAUAAGGAAUUGCAUGAAUGUGUGUGUGUGUGUGUGUGUGUGUGUGUGUGUGUGUGUGUGUGUGUGUGUGUGUGUGUGUGUGUGUGUGUGUGUGUGUGUAAUUAAAUCAUACAUAUUAUACAUACACAGAACGAGGCAGUUGUUCAUGUAUACUUGAAUAUUAAAGUCACUCAUUUAUAUAGAUACACACGAUGUAAUAAAAAAAAUUAAUAGAACGUAUCUCAUAAUAAACUAACUAAUAACACAACUAAAUCAAAAUGAAUAAAACUAGAAUGAAUACCAGAAAAUCAAAAUACUUAAAAAUACAAAACUAAAUCCUAAAAUAGCAAAAAUAUCCAGCUGAAAUAUGCACAAGAUUGAGGUGGAAAGUUCAAAAAUAUAUCAAAGAGAAUUCAAACAUUUCUGAUAAUACCUAAAAUUGUUUAUGAAUAAUUUAAAGUGAAUAAUUGAAAUAAGGAACAUUGGAAGACGCCUGAAAUGACUGAAGUACUAGAGGAAACAUGCGAAAAGUACCAAGAUCUCACAAUUUGUACUUGAAAUGAGAAAAAAAAAUAAAAAUAAGUGAAAAAAAAUUUAGGAAUAUGCCUGAAAUCAAUGAAAUGCUACAAAAAAUAUAUGCAAGGAGUACCAACACAUCAAAAUUUA